AACGCAGCCUGAGAAAUGGAUAUGGUGCUAUGCUAUUUUCGCUAUUUCAUGCAUAUUCAGGAAGUGGGUUUUUUUUUUUAUUUUUAUGUUAACAAAGGAAACUGGAUGUUCUCCUAAAACAGCCACCUAGCCAAGCUGAACCAACAGAGAUGUAUUGAUCACCGGGUCAAUGGAACUAGGUGGGUGCUGGGGGGAAAGUCAGCAGGUAAGUCAGGUGAGGACUGCCUCCCUUCCACUCCCCACCCAGAGACUGAAGACAGACAGACAGACAGAGGCGUUCAUUCAGAAAGAAGUAGGAGGGCUUCAGGGAUUCAGCGGAGGAGACUGAAAGCCUGAGAGACGAUGCCUCUGAGAAGGUUACAGGCAAGCAGCAGGCUCUCCCACUUAGACAAGUGGAGGGGGAUAUAAGCAAACAAAGUUGGGGUGAUGGGGGGAAGGAGGCUUCUGGUCCUCUCAGUGUUUGUGUGGAAAGGUCACUCUCACUGCAGCCCAAUGACGUGCUGUGCAGGCCAAUGGGAGUCCAGGCUGUCUUUCCUGUGAAGACCCAGCACUUUGCUCAUUCAUGGAACCUGCCAGUCUCUUUGGCAAUGUGUUUUAUUGAAACCCUAUGCUUUUCUUUGAAUUUGGUAGUAGCUAUGGCCCCCUUGACUCUUGUUACUGUCUGUGGUCCUAACACGCGGAUACAAUACAUCUCUCAGCUCUGUGCUGAUCAGGCGUUUGCCAGUUCUGUCUUGGCAGGAGAGUCUAGGUUCCUGGGAUGACCGGUCGGAGCCUCUCUGAUUACAGCGAUGAUAGUUGCUCUGGGUGGGCAGGGAGUGUACAGCAGGAUGCCGUAGCCCGUGCUUAGCCGCAGCCCCAUCGGAGAGUCCUCUCAGUCUGCUAUGGUAGAGAUCAGAUUUUCUUUUCCAGACCUUGGGAGAAAGCGCUUUCACCUCCUCACCACAGACACUCUCGACUGUGGACUCAGGACACUAAGCCAGAAAGGUCUCACCAUGGGGCAGCAAUGUGGAUUUAGUAAGCAUAGCCCACGGGCACUCAUUUUGAAGACACUAGGAGAACUUCAAAGCCAGGUUUGGAUCUGCAGGACUGGCUUCUUCACGUACUCCAGCAGUUCAUUGAUGGGAUAGACGUGGGGUGGGCUAACUCAAAGCCCUGGAUCUGGGCCUGAGAGGUGUCUGAGCUGCUCAGCCCACCAGCUCUCCAGUUCUUGUGGCCUUUGGAUUGGCUCGCCAGCAACCCCCUCUCCCAGGGCUAGCUCUCCUGGCUGACCAGGUCGGUCCUUAUAUUUGCUUUAGGAACCUGACAAGACUGACUAGCCAUCUCUAGCAUUCAGAUAGGUGGAACUUCAUUGUGCUGAAGUUAUGUUUGAGCACCCUCUGCUGGACAAAUCAGGUUAAAUUCAUGCUCCGAAGAAGAGAAGAUUUUUAUCUCGAAUCUACACUAAAAGAAGUCUCCUCUUUAAACAGAUGCUCUAUGACUACCAACAAUGUACCAGUGGUAUUCGUCUCUUGCAGAUCUGGAAGAAAAUGAAAUUUAGGUACAUACAGUCACGAACAGAUACCUAGAUGACACAUUUAAAACCCUCAAACACAGUGGAGAUGAGACCAGCAUAAUAUUAAGCUCUUCUCCCUCACAAACACCUGUGCUACCCACACUCACAGGCAAAAAAAAUAUACACAACUGCCAGACUGCAAUGCCUCCCAAUUUAUUGGCCAAAUCUAGAUUCUGCUAGCCCUGUAUAUUCACUCAGAAAGCCAGGCUUCAGACACACCAUGAGUGAUGAGAAAUCCAUUUCAUCAGCAGAGGCAUCUUGCCUAUCUUCAGGAAGCCUACAGACUUCCAGGGAAGCAGGGGGGAAAUCAAGACGUGUCUGACUAUGAGCUGGGGUAAGGGAAGCCUCCGUGUGAAGAUGUGACCUAGUUAGGACAGCUGCCGGAAAGCAGGACUGGCAAGCUUGGUGGUUUGUACACCGGGCCUUGGGAGACUUGGGACACAAACACGAGGUCUUCUGAGGAUGUUUGUGAGUUGCUGGGUUACACAAAAAGAUUCUAGCUCAACAAGCAAAGAAGCGAAGGGGAGGGAAGGGGAGGAAAGGGAGGAGAAGAAAGGAAGUGGGAAGAGAAAAUGGGGCCAAGAAAAGCCCCAAACAUCCCAUAAGCACCCAGAACAGUGUCCCCACCGCGAACCAACCGGGAACCAAAGUGUUCACACCAGAUGAGCUCGUGGAAGGGCUUUUUGCCAAUUGUUCAUGGGUCCCCAGUGAUGAUGGAAUAUUGCGACUUACGUUUCAACCGUUUAAAAAUUUACUGUUAUUAUUUAUGCAUUUCAGUGUUUUGUCUGUUACACGCUCUGUAACUCCAGUUGCAGAAAAUGUAAAACUUUUCUGCCCCCUCCCCCUCCGGCAACCGGGCACAGACAUUUACGGGAGGCUGUGGCUACUUUAGGAGGUAGAGCCUAAAUGGAGAAACUGGGUUGUUGGGACAAUAGACAUUGAGGUUUACAGCCCAACCCCACUGCCUGCCCCUCUCUCCCUUUUCCACCAAGAUGUGAGCGAGCAGUCUCCUUCCUGCUGCUGCAGCUGCAAGCUGCUCCUGCCGCCCAUGCCUUCUCUACUGCCAUGCCUUCCCUACCACAAGGGCCAGAACUCUCACACUGAAAGCCAGAAUAAAUCCUUCCUCUCUUCGGUUGGUUGUUGUCAGGAGAAGGCAGCAGCUGGCAUCAAUGGUGUGGUGAGGAGAGAAUCAAGUUUCCUUCUCCAGUUCAAACAGACGAAAGUGAAGCGACAUAGGCUCAAGGACAGGGUCACUGGGCUAGCGCCACACCAUGGAGCCAAACCCCGAGCCUUCUAAAUUGUGAGCUGGGCAUGGUGGUUCACCCCAGGAAUCGCAGCACUGAGGGAUGAAGGCGAGAGAGUCACUGUGGGUGUGACAUCAGUCUGGCCUGAAGUCUGAGACUGUUUUUUUAAAAAGAAAACAUUUUUUUAUGUCAUAUAUUUAAUUAUAUAAAGAUUCUGUUGUUUUGUUGUUGUUGUUGUUAAAAUUCAGCCAGGAAAUUUCCAUCUGUCUGGUGUUAAUUGGUUGUUUU
rnacentral:lncRNA from 1 species